UUGUGUUUUGUAAAUUUUGGGGCGACAAGCAGAAAAUCGUUUUCGAAGUCAUUUAAGUCUUUAAUAACAAAUUAGAUUUAUUACUCAUUCAUAAAGAGUGCUUGGUGAUAUAUUUUUUUGAUAAUUUAUGCUUAUAAAUUUCCAUUCAAAGAUUUUGAGAUCGAAUAUGCCUAUUUAAGAUUAAAAUUUGUUUAGAACAAUAAAAGAGUGUCUAUCUUUGAAGUAUGUAAAUUUUAAUGCAUAUAAAUUUAUUGACAAUUAAACACCAUUAUGAAACCACCUCUUAGAACAGUACUUAGAAACUUUCUUAAUCAUUUCGAAGAUUACGAAGCUCGAAAAAAAUUAUAUGAUGAUCAGUAUGAAAAAGAAUUUCAGCAAUUGAAAAAAUUGACUGAUAAGUUGAAGAAUGAUAAUGAUUAUUCAUGUUCAUGUGCCUUAAAGGAUGUCAAUAGACCAAAGAAUAGAUAUAAAGACAUUGUACCAUAUGACAAGUCACGAGUCAUUCUUCCAAAAAGUGAAGGUAUUCCUGGGUCAGAUUAUAUAAAUGCCAGUCAUAUAAAGGGAGCUAGUGGUGCUUUAGCUUACAUCGCUGCUCAAGGGCCUCUACCAAAUACUGUGAUAGAUUUUUGGAGAAUGAUAUGGAUUUGUGAUGUUCAAGUUGUUGUGAUGGCUUGCAAUGAGGUGGAAUCUGGAAAAAAUAAGUGUGAGAAAUAUUGGCCAUCUAAGGGUGAAGUGAAACAUUUUGGAAACAUUUCUGUUGAAUUGAUCAACACUUCUCAGAUCUGUCAAGAUUUUUUAAUACGAACUCUAUUAGUCAAAUGUGAUUCAGAAAUGAGGGAUGUUUACCAGUUUCACUAUACAUCUUGGCCUGAUCAUGGAAUUCCUGAUACCGUUCAUCCCAUUCUAGAAUUAGUACGCUUGAUGCGUCAGUGCCAAGCAUCAGAAACAAUGCCGAUUGUUGUCCAUUGCAGUGCUGGCUGCGGGAGAACUGGAACUAUUUGUGCUGUAGAUUUCGUAUGGGCUUGUCUGAGGCAUGGUAAACUCUCAGAAGAUUUCUCGUUAUUUCAAAUUGCUGUUGAAUUGAGGAGACAAAGGAUUGCCAUGAUACAAACUAAGGAACAGUACAUCCUUGCCCAUAAAGUUGUUGCUACACUUUUUGAGCAGCAAUUGAAUGUUAUUGACUGCCAUCCGUACGUGAAUAUAGAUGAAGAUGGAGAGCCAUUGAUUUGGAAGGAGUUAACCAAGAAUAAAAGAAUUGCUCUGAAAGAAAAAUCUCCAGAAUCCACUCAGUCUGUUGAUAAAAUUCAUGAGAAAUCUUCUUCUGAAAAGAAUGUGUGCAAUAAAAAUGCUACAAAUGGAUCGUUACUGGAAUCUACUCCUGAGGAAAAUAGUCACCAAAUUAGUACUUCAUCUAAUAUAAUCACCCCUGAAACUCUUAGUAGUGAUAAAUCUGCUUCAAAAAUAAGUAUUUCCGACUCGCUCGCUGAUUGUAGUAAAAAUAGUGAAAUCAGCUUUUCUAGAAAUUCCUACUUGUCUCAACAAAGUAAUGAUGACGCUAUUCCAUUCAUCGAUGAUGAUGAAGUUAGCAUUCGUCCUCAAUGUGGUAGAGCUUACUUAAACAUACCUAGUUGUGACAGUAUUACAAAGUUGGUGAAUCGUUUCGAUCCGUUUGUCGACAGGGUCGCUUACGAAACUGACGAAAGUAGUCCUGAAUCUGAUUCUAAAUCUUUCCCAUUGCAAAACGAGGUAAAUCAGGAUAAUCUUAAUGGCAAAACCAGUUUGAACACAAAAUACUAUACUAUGACUAGUUCGUCUAAUACUGUUAGUCAUAUAGCGGAAUUGUCUGCUCGGAGUAAAGAUUUGUCUGUGGCUAACAAAAGGGAAAGUUAUCCUUCAACAAUAGGAAGAAGUACUUUUCAAGACUGUGAUUCCAUCGAUGACAAAAUUUCUAUUCAAAGUGAAAACAUAAAGGGAGUGAAAAUGGUUGGUAGAGCGACUGUGAUGAGAAGACCCAGUGUCUCCAAGUUGAAAGCAUUGUUUGAAAAAACAGGAAUUUCUACCUGUAGACAGAGUGACGGGGGUAAACGUUCAUUGUUUAGGAAUAACACUCAUCAUGUUUCUCGUGCAGGCUCAGCUCCACCAUCUUUGAAUUGUAUGGAUAGAAAUUCUGCAAAUGAAAGGGAAUCUAUUUUAAUGAUGGUUACUCGUAAAUUUCGUUCUUCAUCCGUUAGAACCGAAAGGGAGGUUGGUGUGCGGCCUAGUAAUAAAUCGCAAAAGAGGACGGUCACAAAUUCUGUAAAUAACUUAGGAGAAAAGAUUGCCACGCUGUCUCGAACAGUAUCUUUUAAUUUAAACAAGAAAUUUCGGAAUAAUUCUACUGCUUCACAAACUGAAAAUUGUAAUGAAUUUGAAAAUAACCAAUCUACGAGCAAUAGUACAUCCUGUAAUAGUAAUGAAGCCACAUCAUCAACAAAAAGCAAAUCUAUGUGGUAUGAUAAGUCAUCUUUACCUCGGGUUAUAGCUGUAGUCAAACCGACUGAAAAAAUUGUUGCUCCUCCUAUCGAAGAACCUUCCAGUCCAACAAAUAAAAAACCGGACAAGCUUAAAUCGAGUCCCUUCUCAUUUUCAAUAAACAGACCACCUAAACUAUUACCAUUUUUAAGCACUUUAAGUAAAGGAGAUGGAAAAGAUACAACUAUGUGGUAUAGUGAAACAGACAACAUGUAUACCAAACCUAUACCUACAGAGACUCAGCCUACUGUAUCAGAUAUUAAAUCAGAAAAUCCUAUAAAUAACUCAAAAGACAUCUCUAAUAGAAUUUUUCCUGGUAUUUCUUCAUUGAGACCUUGGAAAAAGAUAUCUAAAAACCCACUCAAUAUUCCAGAUGCUCCCAAAAGUCCAACAUUUUAUGCUGUCAUUGAUGAUCCGCAGGAUAAGUUGGCUAGUAUUUCAGCUGCUUCUGAAAUCGCUCCAAUCUGUCCUGUUCCUGAAGAAAUUAUACCCUUGAGCUCCACAGAAAUCCAUAAUUCCACUAAUUCUGCAAUAAAUGAAACAGUAAGUGUUGGUGACUAUCGUGGUUCUGAUAUUCCUGAAGAUAUCAAUAUACCACCUUCAACCACGGAUGAAUCAACCACUAAACAAUCCGAUUCUUCUCAAGACUCCACUCUACCAUCUUCAACUGUUAAUAUUUCCAAGUCAUCAACAGAAGUGGAUAUUGUGACCGAGAAAGAUGAAAAAGACGUACCUCCCGCUAUUCCCAGAAAAAUGCUUUCUAGGAAAAAUAAAUCAAUGAAUCAGCUGAACGAUCUUGUUGAUGAAGAAAUAGGUGCCAAAUCUCAAGUGCCUCUGACCUUUGACAGGAAAAAAGAUCCUCCACCUUCUCCUAAUGAUCUUUACAGCAAUGUUAAUGAAACGGCUAAGAAAAACAUUGAAAUAAUUGAAAAAGCAUUGCAAAUCAAUCCACGUAGUGCUAUAAUUGAUUUAACAUCGAGGGAAUCGUAUUGUAUGGAAGAAGAACUCGCCAAUGCUGUCAAACAGUUGGCAGCUCCUCAGCCAAUGAGUCCUAAAGGCAACUCAAAAUUUCCUGGUUAUGAAAUCAUAUGGCCUGAAGACGUUGCCCUCAUUAAAAAUCAAAUCAAACCAUUUAAUGAAAGCCAACUGCAGUGUAAGACUGGAAUAUGUUACAGCCCCCCUUUGAGAAGAAGUUUUAAAGGUAGUGUGAAUCUAUCAAAAAGUAGUUCCUGCUCUAACAUUGACUGGCUCGAACCCAAUGAGACGGUAGCAGUUGUGGAUAAUUUUAAAGAAGGUUCUGCAUCGCCCACCAAAAAGCUUGUCAAAGAAGCUGCUGUUGAACUCAAUACACUAUUAGAUAGAUUGACCACGCAAACUCUGUCUGAAGCGGAAGAUGUGGAUCUCAAAAAUAAACACUCCGCUAAAAAAACUGAAAGUAGCUGUAACACUAAUUCAGAAAAAAGUUCAUCUUUUAAAAGCGGUUCUGCUCAGACAAAUUUAAUUACUCAUUCAGUAACUAUCCUGUCUAAAUCUUCUCGUACCAACAGCUCCCCUAAAGAAGAAGAAAUAGUUUUCCAUUUCCCACCACCUCCUCGCAAUCCACCUCCGAAGGAGGAUACUACAUCUGAACGUUUUGAUAUAGUUGUCAAAAAUGGUUCUUUAAUAGUUUCUCCAAACAAAAAUGAAUUGGAUAAGGAAAUGAAUGAAAAAUGUUUGAGCUCAACAGGUACCCAAGUAUAUCCUCAACCAGCCCCUAGGAAGAGCAAAAUACGUAAAUCAGCUUCUUAUACUAAUUUGUGGGCACCUCAAAGUAAGGGCUAUGAAAAUGUGUUCCUAGAGAAGUACCAAACCCUCUCGCGACUUCAAAUUGGUUCUGAAAACUCACCAUCUAACCCUGGUACCAGGAAAGAAGCAAACAGAAAGCCUACAAAGAAAACUCUCCCUGACUAUGUAAACGUUCAGAACUUUCCUUUCUCUGAAAAUAAAUUACUCCAUACUACGACUGAAAUGUCAUUGGACGAUGACAAAUUGCAAAACUCAAAACAACGACUUGCUGAUUCAAAUAUGAGCAGAAGCUAUCCCGAGCCAUCUGAUGUGAAGCCAGCAGCUUUAGCUAUAGAUACUUCUUAUGGUGAUCAGUUUUCUAAUUAUGGCAAAAUUCUCAAAACACCUGCCAAAAAGCAAGAUCCAUUAACUCAUCAACCAAGUGUUCCUAAAUUGAUGAAUAAGGAAUCGGACAGGCAUCUUACACCUUCAAGGAAACAUGAACGGGCUCCCUUGCCGCCUGAUGUUAAUCUUGUUUAUAAAACCAAAGAUAAUUUCAAAGUGGAAUCCACUGACCAGUCAGUGUCUUCAAAGAGAAUUCCAUCGAGAAAGCAAGAAAAAGCUCCACUGCCUCCACCUUUGUUAUUAAAAAGCUCUUCGGCAGCAGCUGUUAAUAAAAAUAUGUCAAAAACACCAUAUUAUACCAAUUUCUCCUCCCAGAAGUAUCAUGAAGAUACUCGUACAUUGCCUGCUGUGCGGGAAAACAUUGCCAACACAGACAGCUACUUGAAACUCGCGACUAAAAAAGAAAUCCCGCCAAAAGAACAAAACAGUAAUCGACCUAGUCGAGGAUUGUCCCAUUCACAGAGUGAUGCUAGUGUGUUUCUUGCUCUCAAGGAGAGAAAGGCAUUUUCUUUGAAUCGGGAUCAAAAACUGUCGGAGCAAAAGAUCCUGGUGACGAAUAAAUUCUUAAAACGGAAUAAGGAGUUAGCUUCUGUGAGUAGUAGUGAUAGUGACAGUAGUUAUGAACGGAUCUUUUUUGAUAAACCUGUUAAGUCAAAUGAAAGGGUUGUUCAGAAGAAAACUGAGGAGAGAACAAAUUUAAUGGUAGAGAAGGAUUCUAUGAAAGAAUUGCCCGUUGCUCCCCCAAGGGCUAGGAGGCGGAACACAACGGAAAUACAGUAUGCUAAGGUGAAAUCUAAAGAAAAAAAGUGGACAUAUUUCUUCUAAUCAAGACUCACCUCCUGCAAUACCAAUUAAAACAAGGGAUGCAUUUGAAAUUCCAGAGGAAGAGCAAAUCAGAAAUUUCAAAUCAUCUGUAAGCAAAACUCAAGAUGCAGAAGACAGAUCUUUUGAAUCAUAGAUUGAAAAUGUCAUGUAAAAUUAUGUAGUACUUAAUUUAUUUUGCAUUUUGCUGUGCAUUUUUACAUUCUCAUUUCUUGUGCUUUGCUCCUUUUUUUUACCUGGUGAUAACUAUUCUGUGAUCUUAAUAUUGAAAAGCGGAAUCAUUUAGUUAUAUUAUUAAAAAAUUUGAAUAGUUAAACUGCUUCCAGAUCUGAAUAUUAUUGUUCACAGUAUAAAUUUUUAUUAUUCAGAAUAUUUUAUUUUUGUUUUGUUUAAAUUUAAGAAUGUGAAAUUAUUUUUAUUUGAAAAGCAUUGUUGCUUUUUCAAAAUGUUGUUUGAAAUGUAUUAUGUUUGUUAAUUCUCUUUCAAACUUUACUAUAGUAUGAUGUAAAUAAAAAUUAUUUGUCUAGUUUUUAUUUCUAAAAUGUUGGAAUAGUUAGAAUUGAUAAUUAAAUUUUUUAAUGAAACUUUUAAUUAGAAAUUGAUGCUGCUUUUUCUCAGCCAAACAUUAUCUAUUUUUGUUCUUAAAAAAUAUCUCUUUCUUUUUCAUAUUUAUUCUUACUAUGAAAAAUGUACAUAAUAUUUUUAUUCAAUUUUACAUUGUAAAUUUUAUUUUCAAUAUUAUUCUGCUGUACUUAUUUAAAAAGAAUUGGUUUUAAAAUCCACUUUCUCACUAUACUAGAUACUCAUUUUCUAAAAGGUAUAUUUUUGUAACUAAUUUUUUCAUCAAAAACUAUUCUAGACACACUAUUAUCUGAAAACCAGAAUUGUCAACUAAACUUUUAUUGUCAAAUAUUGUGUUCAGUUUAACGUUCUUCAAACAUUUGAACUUUAGUUUGUUUAUAUAUGGCUUUUUAGAACUAUGCAUUCAUUAAAAUCUCUUUAUGUUCAUUUUUUUUGUAUUUAAAACUUAACUUUCAUUCAUGCUAAAUUUUUAUGAUCUCACUCAUUUAUAAUUUUUAAUAAAUUUAUUUUUAGUUUAUUAUUAUUUUCAUACAUAUGUAGAAUAAAGUUUAAACAUAUUGCGUAUUGUGAAUAGACAUAAUUCUUCUUUUCAAAGCUUGUGACAGGUUAAUUAUUUUUUUUUUUAAAUUGCUGUUUUUAAGAUAAGUUUUUAAAAUAUUGCUUAGCAUGAAAUAUAUGAUUUAUGUUCUCUACUUUUAUGAAAAUUAUUUUACUGCAGUUGCAGUAACUUCUUUUUUACAGUAUGAUUACUGCCAAUUGAUUCAGAAUAAACUGCUCCAGAUAAACCCUUAUUUUCCCUAAUUAAUAUGGAAUUUCCAUCUCAAAAUGGGCAAAAACUCAUUAAUAUGCUCCUACUAAGUGUCAUAACUAUGUACUGGCGUUCUUGCUUAAGUCCCAAUCGUAAUAAAUUUGUAUUAAAUUUUAAUAGGUUAUAGUCAAAAUUAGGAAAUUUUGCAAUUAGCCUUUUUUUACAGUGGCCUUUUUUUCUAAAAUUGAGAAUUUUAAAUGAUUGAAAAUUUGGUUGAUAUUAUUUAAAUUGAUUGAAUUGGUUGAUUAACAUUUCUCAAAAUAUUGUAAACAUUACUAAAAUGAAGAAACAACUUUUAUAAAACAAACUUAAAGUAAUUUUCAGUUUAUUAAACAAUAUUUACAAUAAAACUAUCAUCAUCAUAGUUGGCCAGACAGCCCAAUGUGGGCCAUUGCCUCCUUCUGAAGAUUUUUUCAUAACGUUCUGAUUUAUCUUUGAUCUCCAAUUCUUUUGCUUAAUUGCAAGAAAAUCAGAAUCCACCAAAUCAGCCUAUCUCUAACGCUGCCUUCUCUGCUUUCGUGUUUCAGUGGGUCUAAAGGGCAAUAUCUUUAUUAUUGUAUUGUCAUCAUUCAUUCGAAUCACGGAAGCUACUUAAUUUAUACUAAUAAAUCCAUAUUUAUUGAAAUAUUUUUAAUAAUAAAAUGCCUUUUUGAUAAUAAGAAAAGUGGCGAUUGUAAAACAAAUUUUUAACCGUCAUUUGUAAUAUUUAGUAAUAAAAUUACAAAAUGAAGUAAUGUAUUUACUGGUAAACUGAUAAUACUGAUAGAACUGGUAGUACUGAUAAACAUUCAAAAUGAUAAUAACAGUUAAAAUUCAUUUCAACAAAAACUUCAGCUUAUUUUAUUCAUUUUUGUUUAUGCAUACAUGAAAAUCAGAUUCAGACCUGGACUAUUUCCUGCUCCAGACCAGUGAAUUUAACUGUUAGUCAUAAAACAUAGUUUUAGAACAAGUAUUGAUAAAAUGUUGAAAAAAAUUUGUUCUUUACAUUAAAUAACCUCAAACUAAUUAGUAAUAUCUCUUUGGGUUUUUGUAUUCAUAAUGUUUGACCAAGUUAUUGAAAAAAUC
rnacentral:misc_RNA from 1 species